GGUCAAGCUACAAAGGGCGCAUGGUGAAUGCCUUGGCAUCAGGAGCCGAUGAAGGACGUGAUAAGCUGCGAUAAGCUUCGGGUAGGCGCACAUAGCCUGAGAUCCGAAGAUCUCCGAAUGAGGAAACUCACAUGGGAAACCCCAUGUAUCAUUAAGUGAAUACAUAGCUUAAUGAAGGUAACCCAGGGAACUGAAACAUCUAAGUACCUGGAGGAAGAGAAAGAAAAAUCGAUUUUCUUAGUAGCGGCGAGCGAAAGGGAAAGAGCCCAAACCGGAAACUUGUUUCCGGGGUUGUGGACAUAACAUAAAAGUGGAGGCUAUUGUAACUGAAGAGAACUGGAAAGUUCCACCGUAGAAGGUAAUAGUCCUGUAAGUGAAACGAGAAGACCACGAGUUAUGAUCCAGAGUACCACGAGACACGUGAAACCUUGUGGGAAGCAGGGAGGACCACCUCCCAAGGCUAAAUACUACCUGAUGACCGAUAGUGAAGCAGUACCGUGAGGGAAAGGUGAAAAGAACCCCGGGAGGGGAGUGAAAUAGAACCUGAAACCGUGUGCCUACAACCGCUCAGAGCCCCUUAUGAGGGUGAUGAGGUGCUUUUUGUAGAACGAGCCAACGAGUUACGGUAUGUAGCAAGGUUAAGUACUUAAGGUACGGAGCCGAAGGGAAACCGAGUCUGAAUAGGGCGACUAGUUGCAUGCCGUAGACCCGAAACCGGGUGACCUAUCCAUGGCCAGGUUGAAGCGAGGGUAAAACCUCGUGGAGGACCGAACCACGUUGCUGUUGAAAAAGCAUGGGAUGAGCUGUGGAUAGCGGAGAAAUUCCAAUCGAACCCGGAGAUAGCUGGUUCUCUCCGAAAUAGCUUUAGGGCUAGCGUCGAGUAUGAGUAGUGGAGGUAGAGCACUGAAUGGGCUAGGGGGCAUAGCGCUUACCGAACCUUAUCAAACUCCGAAUGCCACAUACUUUGAGCUCGGCAGUCAGACUACGAAUGAUAAGAUCCGUGGUCAAAAGGGAAACAGCCCAGAUCGUCAGCUAAGGUCCCAAAGUGUAAGUUAAGUGGGAAAGGAUGUGAGAUUUCUAAGACAACUAGGAUGUUGGCUUAGAAGCAGCCAUUCAUUAAAAGAGUGCGUAAUAGCUCACUAGUCGAGAGAUCUUGCGCCGAAAAUGUAACGGGGCUAAACUUACCACCGAAGCUACGGGCUUGAACUUAGUUCAAGCGGUAGGAGAGCGUCGUAACCGGGCUGAAGUCGUACCGUAAGGAGCGGUGGACUGGUUACGAGUGAGAAUGUUGGCAUCAGUAGCGAGAUGUGGGUGAGAAUCCCACAGGCCGAAAACCUAAGGUUUCCUCAGGAAGGUUCGUCCGCUGAGGGUUAGUCGGGACCUAAGCCGAGGCCGAAAGGCGUAGGUGAUGGACAACUGGUUGAUAUUCCAGUACCACUACCAUCGUUAUUAUCGAUGGCGUGACGCAGGAGGAUAGUGUGUGCUAGCUAUUGGAUGCUAGUCUAAGCGUUUAGGCAGUGAGAGUAGGCAAAUCCGCUCU
rnacentral:rRNA from 1 species